rnacentral:lncRNA from 1 species
UGGCCCAGGAAGAAUGGUUUGGCUACCAUUGAACCACAAGGGGAAGAGAGGAAAGGUACAGAACAGCUGGGUUUAAUGAGCUGGAACAGAUAAAAAUCACUCCCUGAGCACUGGAAAGCAGAAGGAGAACAAAGCCAAAUGUUCUUGCUGAGCAACACGGUGACCCUAUGAAGUCAGCUUCAGAGGCUCAUCCAGGAGUCACUUCCCCAUGGGCCUCCUCAAACAGGUCUACAAUUUGUUUCAGAACACCAGUGGUUUCAAUAGAUGCAUCCUUGCAUAAACCUGAAUCCCUGUUGCCACGAAAAUUAGCAGUGGAAAGCACCAGGUCCUUCUGCACAAGUGCUGGUGCAAAAUACAGGGCUGAACAGCGACCUUUACUUCUGUAAAGAUUGGUAACACUGUGGAUCCUGACAGUGUUCAAGGGGAGACUGAAACACCUUGACCCUAACUGGAACCCUGCCAAAAGUAAGAAUUAUUGUUUUUAAAAAAUAAUCCUUCAUGAGCCCAUAGGCCACAGGAGACUAAGGGUCCAUAGGUUGAAAAUCACGGCUUUGAGAAAUGAUACUUCAUUCCUGUAUUAACUGGUAAUAUAUGUCUGAAUAAAAUUCACCAGUUCUGUGAUUUAUAUGGCA